UGGCUCAGAUUGAACGCUGGCGGCAGGCUUAACACAUGCAAGUCGAGCGGGGAAAGGUAGCUUGCUACUGGACCUAGCGGCGGACGGGUGAGUAAUGCUUAGGAAUCUGCCUAUUAGUGGGGGACAACAUUCCGAAAGGAAUGCUAAUACCGCAUACGCCCUACGGGGGAAAGCAGGGGAUCUUCGGACCUUGCGCUAAUAGAUGAGCCUAAGUCGGAUUAGCUAGUUGGUGGGGUAAAGGCCUACCAAGGCGACGAUCUGUAGCGGGUCUGAGAGGAUGAUCCGCCACACUGGGACUGAGACACGGCCCAGACUCCUACGGGAGGCAGCAGUGGGGAAUAUUGGACAAUGGGCGGAAGCCUGAUCCAGCCAUGCCGCGUGUGUUGAAGAAGGCCUUUUGGUUGUAAAGCACUUUAAGCGAGGAGGAGGCUCCUUUAGUUAAUACCUAAAGUGAGUGGACGUUACUCGCAGAAUAAGCACCGGCUAACUCUGUGCCAGCCGCAGC
rnacentral:rRNA from 1 species